rnacentral:tRNA from 1 species
AGCAGCGUGGCUUAAUGGAAAGAGCAUGGUCUUGGGAGUCAGAGGUUGUGGGUUCUAAUCCCAUCUCCUCCA